UACGUAGGGUGCGAGCGUUAAUCGGAAUUACUGGGCGUAAAGCGUGCGCAGGCGGUGAUGUAAGACAGGUGUGAAAUCCCCGGGCUUAACCUGGGAACUGCAUUUGUGACUGCAUCGCUGGAGUGCGGCAGAGGGGGAUGGAAUUCCGCGUGUAGCAGUGAAAUGCGUAGAUAUGCGGAGGAACACCGAUGGCGAAAGCGGCUCACUGGCCCGAUAUUGACGCUCAUGUACGAAAGCGUGGGGAGCAAACAGG
rnacentral:rRNA from 1 species